rnacentral:piRNA from 1 species
UGACAAAGAACCAAAGAAACACGUUGAUU